GCACGAGUCAAACAACUCCAAAAAAUCUCUUAUAAGAAUUCAUAUUCUCGCCUAUUAUUCAGAAUUCAGACUAGCUUUUCUGGCGCCCUUAUUCCGUCUACCACCCACAUCAUUACUCUGAGCCUGACCCAAUUUCGUCUAAUGGCAUCUUGAUCAGGUAAACUCCGGUCUACUGUUUUUGUCCAUUUUUCUUAAUUUAAAGAUUCAGUUCUUCUGAUAUUUGUUUCUUUAUGUCAUUUUGAGAAGGAAUAAUUGCUUCCUUGAGUCGAAAUCCAAAUAUUUUACUGCUGAAAGCCAGUAACUGUAUACUAUGUUUAGAGGUUCAAGAUUUUGACUUAUCUUAGUUUUUGAUCUUUUCAUGAUUGUAAAUUGCUUUUCGAGUGAUGUUGUGGGUUUUUUUUUAUUUCUCAGAUAGUGUUUGAGAAUUUUUGCUGGAAUAGUAAUUGAGAAAUUUACACCCAGUUCCCCCAUUUUCUUUCAUUUUUUUCCAAAUCUUAUUUUCUAUUGCGCAAUCUUUUUCAUUCCUUUUCAACAACGCAUUUUCCAAAAAAAUAUUAUUCCAAACAUUAAAAUUUAGAAAAAAUGGGGGCUUAACGGGUGCUUAAUUUCAGUUUUUAUUGGGGUUUGAUCUUUCUUGAAUGGAAGUUGUUUGUUGAGGUCUAGAUUGAUUGAACUCAAAGUGAUGUUUGUGGGUUGUUUCUACAGAACGGCAUAUUAUUUGAGAUUUUUUUUUUUUUUUUUUUUUUUUGGUAGAUAGUGAUUUGGAAAUUUAUGCCCCAUUUGGCCCCCAUUAAAUAUCAUGAAAUUAAUUUAAAAUUUUCUCUCUCGUAUUUUUAACACCACAAUCUUCAAUAAAAUAAUAUUACACGUGCAUCAAAAUUUUUUCAUCCAUUUACAACCAUCCAUUUAAUAAAAAACACUAUUCCCCUAUUAUAAUAAAAAAGAAUAGGGGCUAUAUAAUCCAUUUUACUGGGAUUUGAUACAGGGGCUUCUGAGAGGUUUUGAGAGAAUUGGAUCAUAUGAAGUGGUUAGUCGAUCCUCUGAGAGGUUAUUCAAAUGUCCAGUGGCUGUUAAAAUUUCCGUGGAUUGACUGAGUUUUGUGAAAGUCUGUUAUCCAUUUGAAUCUGAAAUGAGGCUUAUAUUUUGCUUUCAAGAGUUAUUUGUUCGUUUUAGCUAUAUAAGAUAUAUGAAUUAUUUAUUAAUCUGGUAUUAAUGGCAGAUAAAUUGUGGCAAAUCGAGUUUAACUCGAAAUUUUGUCAUUUUUUAGAUUACAAAUAAAAUAAAGAAUGGCUACUAUGAGGACUGUUGGGAUUAUUGGUCCCAGAUUUGAUUUUAUCUCAAUGAUCUUAUAUUUUCAGCCACUCAGUCAAACCAAAAAAUCAUCUAUCAUUCGACAAAAAACACGACAUCACAGACAGUAGCUAAAAUGCAGAAAAUGUAAAGAAUAAGAACACCAAAAAUGAUCACCCAAUCCACCCAAAUAAGGGCUCAGGAUCAGUCCAAUCCACUGUGUAAAACCAACCUUCCAAAGAGAUCAAUGUACAAAGGAACCAAUCAGACUUUCUCUUAAGGUUCUAAAGAUAGAUUACACAAAGAUCUCAAGAACCAAAUACAAAAAUCAACCCUAAACUUGACAAGAACAAACACAGCUAAACCAGUGCACCACGGUCAAAAAACAAUUGACCGAAACCUUUCUUUCAAGUCUAUAACACAAGGGUUAUACAAUUCUUUUUAACCUCUCUAAUAAUCACAAUGAAACAUAAUAGAAAUUGGAAGAAUUUCAGAGAGAGAGAGACAGAGAGACGCCUUUCAAAAAUCUCUAGAAAGAAUGAGAACUCAAGCCACUAAAAACGGGUAGCACAAGAGUCAUAAAAGCCAUGUAUAAUCAAGAUUGAAUCCCAGCCACACAUUAUGAUUCAAUGCCUCACAAUGGAGUUGAAGAAGCACAAUCCUCAUUUUAGUAAAAUAACCAAUUGGUGGUUGCCAUUUGGCCCUCCAAACCAAUUAAAAAGGCAAAGUAGCACUUCUUUUAAAUAAAUCCAAAGUUUCCAAUUUAGUGAAACACGCCUUUUACACUUUCAAUCUUCACCUUGUUUCACUAAAUACAUCGACUCUCUUAGUUGCAUGGUUUACAUAGUAAGACUGAUCAUCAUCACUGCCCGGUACCUGCAAAAGAAUUAUCCAUUUUCAAUAUACGGAAUUGAUAAACCAAAAUUUAAACAUACUAGUUGAAAGCAUUUUAAGUCUCAUAUCAAAUGGACAUACAUCAACAUGAAUUUUCUCAAGAUUUAACUUCACCUGAAGCUGUCUUAUCCGUUUAGAAGAUGAUACUUCACCUUAACAUAUGUUUACCUCUAUAAUGAGCAAAAUUUAUAAUAACCAACAAUGCAAUUUUACUAACAAUGAGAGUAAUGCAAGUAUCAUACACAAACUUUCCGAUACAGAAAGAGAGAGAAAAAUCGCCUACCAAAAGACUUUUUUUCGAUCUCCAUUCUCUAACGAAUAUAUCUUUUUCUUGUUCCAAUCCAAUUAGGUGACUAUAAGGAUGAGGUUGAUUGUGAUGUCUUACCCAUGGAUGUAGCUCAUAUCCUUCUAGGACGCCCUUGGCUUUAGAAUGGAAAAUAUAAUCAAAAUUCAUGAGGCCUAGAAAAAUCUUGAAAACAGGAAGCAUCUGGGCACCGUUGAAAGAGUAUCGCAGGUUCAGGCAAGCACCCAACCUAUACAAGGUGCUGGUGUUCUCCUUUACUAAGUAAUUCAAAAUACACAAAAUCCCUUUCAACCAAAUCCAUUCUUUCACAUUUCUCAUAUUUAUGCAGUCAUUUUCCAACGUAAAGAAGUAGGUAAUAAUGGAUUUCCUGUGAUCUUUGCCACGCACAAAGUCAACAUCCACACAUCCUUUAAGGAUCAACCUAUUAAACCUUUUCAAUUUACAAACAAUGUCCUUCACCUCAAAGUCUAAUGGUUGACUCAUAUGGAUAUUUUCCUUCAAUUCCCAAUGUAGGAAAGCAGUUUUAACAUCUAGUGAUUCAAGUUCCCAAAUGAAUUGAACUACUAAUGCUAAAAACAAUCUAAUUAUUUUAUAUUCAAUGACAAGGGAAAAUAUCUCAAUAUAGUCAAACCUCUCUUUUAGUGUGUAAAUCCACUUGCAUUUUACUAUUCUUUGACCAUUAGGCAAAUUAACCAAACUCCCUCUAUCCCUAACCAAUUUGUAAUGUUGGAUAGAAUUCUCUUCAAUUAUCGGGGUGUUCGUUUCCGUUUCAUUUUCACCAUGAGGUACAUCAACCUCAUCAAUUACAGGUUCAUUCUCAUCGGAAUGAGUGAAGUCAUAUUUUGCCAACUUCACCUUAUUCUGAAAUUUCUUGUGACAUCCAAUUUCCUCAGAAUCAUCAUGUUGUCUGAAUUUUAAACAAGGCAUUUAAGAUUCAUUAAACAUAACAUCCUUGCUGUUAAUGAUCGUAAUACCAAGUUCCCCUAAAUCCACAACCUGUAAUCUCUAACCCCUUUAGGAUAGCCUAGCAUAACACAUCUAAUAUCCCUAGGCACCAACUUGCCCUCAGUUUGGCGUGGAUACGCCACACACCCAAACAGUCUAAUAUGUGUUAAAUUUGGUGGCUUCCCUGUCCAUAGUUCUUGAGGAGUCUUAAACUUGACACAACUAGAUGUCGAUCUAUUAAUCAAAUAUGCUGUUGUGCAUAAUGCCUCAGUCCAAAACCCCUUAUCAAGUCCUGAACUGACUAACAUAGUCCUAGCCUUAUUCAUCAAAGUCUUAUUUAUUCUUUUUGCCACCCCAUCUUGUUGAGUUGUGUACUUAACCGUCUUUUGUCUCAUGAUUCCCUUUUGCUUACAAAAGUUAUCAAAUUUCGCAUUACAAAACUCUAGACCAUUAUCCGUUCUCGAAGUCUUUAACUUCUUAUCCAAUUGAUUUUCCACAAUUUUAAGCCAAGUCCAGAAUUUAUGAAAAGUCUUAGAUUUAACCUUUAAGGGGUAAACCCAUACUUUUCUUGAGUAAUCAUCUACUAAAUAUAGAAAGUACUUAUUUCCACCAAAACUGGGAUGCUCUUCAGGCUCCCACAAAUCUGCAUAGAUAUAAUCCAAAGGUCUUUUUGCUAUAUGUGAACCCACCUCAAAACUCACCCUGUGGACUUUCCCAACAAACAAGUCUCACAAAAGUUUAAAUGUUCAAUAAGACCUUUACCAAGUAACUUUUGGUCGCUCAAAUGUUUCAAACAUUUAUUUCCUAUAUGCCCCAUUCUUUUGUGCCACAAUUCAGAUUUGUCAUCAAUAACACUAAGGAGAUUAGCUUCUUGUGAAGUAAUUGCCUCACCCAUCAGGUAGUACAACCCAUUUUUCUUAGGUCCUUUUAUUACAACUAGGGAACCUCUCAUGACUUUUAGUGUAUUAUUUUUAGAUUUAAAGUCAUGUCCUUCAUUCUCAAGGAUUCCCAAAGAUAUGAGAUUCCUUUUAAGAUUAGGAACAUACCUAACAUUUCUUAAUUGCCUGAUAAUACCGUCAGGCAUCUUGAUGGCUAUGUCCCCAAUACCAUUGAUAGUAUGAGAAUUAUUAUCACCCAUAUAAACAUUACUAGGUUCAACUUCCCUAUAGUUAUAAAACCAUGAGCUGACGGGACAUAUGGAAUAUGCACCCUGAAUCUAAAAUCCAGUCUCGACUAAUAUCUUCACAAGAUACAGUCAUAACAUACAAGCUGUCCAAGUCAUGUCCAACAGCAAUAUUGUUCGAUUCCAUAUCGUUUUGAUCAUUUUUCUUCAUUUUCCACUCAAAGCGAUCUCUCUUAAAGUGCGCUAGCUCCCUACUGCCAUAACAAUUCUUGUUACUUUUAUCUUGGGAUAUAGAUCUCUCCUUUGAUUUUCCUUUCACUUUCCUCACCUGAAAGUCAUUCUCUCUUUUUUCACUUCUUCCUCUUACAAACAUAAUUUCUUCCCUAGCCUCUCUUGAUUCCCUUUUAACUUCUAAAUCUCUCGAUUUUAAGGCAUCUAUUACAACUGCUUGCGAUAAUUUGUCCUUUGAGUAUUUUAUUGCAUUUCUCACAUCCUUAUAAGAGUCAGGCAAAGAAUUCAAUAAGAUGAUAGCCAAAUCCUCAUCAUCAAAUUUCUUAUCAUCAUGUGCAAGACUCUUCACGAUUAUACUAAAAUCACUUAGAUUCACUUCUAAGUCCUUUCUCGGGUCCAUCCUAAAACUAAACAAUUUCUCCAAAAGAUAAAUUUUAUUUGGCAAUGUUUUAGUUAGGAAUAAAGCAUCAAGUGCAGUCCAUAAAUCCCUAGCAUUCUUAGCUUCAUCAACUUGUCUAACAAUAUCAUCAGACAAAUGCAAAAUUAUAGAGCUGAAUGCAAUCUCAUUCAUUUCCUCAAUUUCAGCAAGUUUAGAAUUUAAUUCAACAGAAAAUGUUUCAGGAUCAUCAAGGGCUUUAGCAACCCUUUGUUGGACUAAAAUAGCCCUCAUUUUCUGCUUCCAUAUCGAGUAAUCCACUUUCCAUCGAAUUGAGAUAGUUCUACGCUUGAACCCAUAACAGAUUCAAUGGAAGGGUGAUUUGAACUCGAGGCCAUUUGGUAAUCUUGGAUUCCCAAAAAUAAGCAGAAAAAGUUUUUGAAAAAAACACUCAGAUUUUACAGAUCAGUUAAGAAACAGUUUCAGAAUUAAACAGAUGAAAUGAACAGUCAGAUUACUGUGAAUUGUGUGUGCUGCAGGCAUGUAUGAUAAUCAGCAAUAACAAGUAAUUCAUCAAUUAAAAGUUAUGCAGUCCAGAUAUGUGUAAUACUCAGCAAUAACAUGUAAUUCGUCAAUUAACAGUUAUGCAGUCCAGAUUACAUUAUAUAUCAAUAUAGCAUGUAGCAACAAAUUCCAAUUUGCAUUAAACAGUAAGAAACCAGUAUGAGAUUUUAAAUUGAGUUCAAGAAAUUUAAACGAUCUCACUAAAAUUGUUGAAUAAUAGUUUAAUACUUCUGAAUCCAAUUUCUUAUCAAGAAGCUAAGAGUCUAGCAAGUCCACCUCAAAUUUAGUGGAACCAAAAUAGUAAUUCAACCUGAAACACUUGAUCAAACAAUAUCGGUAGGCUCUUUGAAAGAAAAUAUAAUAUCAAAUAUCUUUACCAGACCUGUCUGCAAAAUCCACCGGUGUGCACCUCGGAGAUUUAGCCAGAUCCAAUUUCAAGAACCUCAGUAUAUGACCCAAGAGAAAUGUUCGCAAUUAAUUUUUUCACAAAUUACAAAUCACUUGAAAAAAAAAAAUUCACCAAGGACGAUUGUCAAUUAAUAUUUUUUUAGAAAUCGCAAAAAUACUCAAGAACUCUAAUGCAAGCUCUGAUACCAGUUUUGUUGGGAUUAUUGGUCCCAGAUUUGAUUUUAUCUCAAUGAUCUUAUAUUUUCAGACACUCAAUCAAACCAAAAAAUCAUCUAUCAUUCGACAAAAAACACGACAUCACAAACAGUAGCUAAAAUGCAGAAAAUGUAAAGAAUGAGAACACCAAAAAUGGUCACCCAGUUCACCCAAAUAAGGGCUAAUCUGGGGGGCUCAGGGUCAGCUCAAUGCAUUAUGUAAAACUAGCCUUCCAAAGAGAUCAAUGUACAAAGGAACCAAUCUGACUUUCUCUUAAGGUUCUAAUCAUAGAUCACACAAAGAUCUUAAGAACCAAAUACAAGAAUUAACCCUAAACUUGACAAGAACAAACACAGUUAAACUAGUGCACCACAGUCAAAAAACAAUGGACCGAAACCUUUCUUUCAAGUCUAUAACACAAGGGUUAUACAAUUCUUUUUAACCUCUCUAAUAAUCACAAUGAAACAUGAUAGAAAUUGGAAGGAUUUCAGAGAGAGAGACAGAGAGCCGCCUUUCAAAAAUCUCUAGAAAGAAUGAGAACUCAAGCCACUAAAAACGGGUAGCACAAGAGUCAUAGAAGCCAUGUGUAAUCAAGAUUGAAUCCCUGCCACACAUUAUGAUCCAAUGCCUCACAAUGGAGUUGAAGAAGCACAAUCCUCAUUUUAGUAAAAUAACCAAUUGUUGGUUGCCAUGUGGCCCUCCAAACCAAUUAAAAAGGCAAAGUAGCACUUCUUUUAAAUAACUCCAAAGUUUCCAAUUUAGUGAAACAUGCCUUUUACACUUUCAAGGACGUUGAAAUUAAGUUCGCAAUCUUUGAUGGGAUAUAGGUCACGGAACCUACUCAUUAUCAUUGACCGUUGCUAUUUUUACACAAAUGCCUUUUUUUAAAAGGUUGAACCCCAACCUUGAGGGCCUCCACCUCACCGCCUCUGGAGUAUCGUAAGGGAGGUAAAUCGCAGGAUGUGCCCCAUCAGGCUAGGGAACAGGAGUUUGCUGGUACACUGGUGCCCACAAAAAGUUCAAAUGCCUUUUUUCUGAGUGGCCUCAAGGUUGAACUUAAUCUUUAUUAGGCUGCCAUAGUGAUAAGUUUUCACUUCCAAGGAUUCUGACUCAUUUUUUAAGAAAGUUUUACGGCUUUUAAAAUAUAAAAUAGAUGACUAAUGUUAAAUGAUGUUUCAUGGAGUCAUGUUCUUGUCAUAUGUCUUUCUGUCCUUUUUUUAUUAAAGAUACGUGAAAUGGUGUUGUAAUGAAAUUCUUAAAUCUUGAGGCUUUGGUGGCUUGUGUAAUUCCUAUGUUUGGAAUGUCAUUUUCUGAGGUACAUCAAGUUAAAUGGACAAGAGUUGCUGUCAAAAAUUGGAUAAAAGGAAUAUGAAUUUACAUAUUUGUAUGGUUGUUUUUAAUUUAAUGUAGAUUGUGAUCCCGACUUUUAUAUGAAAUCCUGAUUAAGCUUUUGCAUUACAGAUAAAUCAGUUUUAUCUAAGUUCGUGAAUGAUAUGAAAAUAAUACAUGAUGGAAAAUUUUGGAGAAUUGGAAGAUUCUUGCUGAUUCUAAAAUUAGUGUUAAUGAUAUUCUUGGAGGAGUUAUUAUGCAUAGUAAAAAAGGUGAACUCAUAAUUGUUGUUGUCGAUUUUUGUCAUUAAAGAUAGUAUUAGAUUAUGCCAUUCAACUAUUAUUUGCAUUUUAGUUGUUAAUUCUCUGACAAUAUCCAACUUGAUGCUCUUAAUUCAAUUGGUAAUGAAGUUAUAGUUAUACUCACCUGGAACUGGAACGGUGCAUUGUUAGUCAUCCACCCUUUUAACAACCUUCGCGCAGAAAGUAGAGAGAAAAACGGCAAUAGGGUUGUUUGGCUAAGCUUCAAAAUAAUUAACAAUCUUUUUAUUGAUAAAAAUUGAAAGGAGGGUGCUACAUGUUACAGCUCAGUGUACAGUUUCCUCACAUGAGGGGCGAAGCCUGCGCAUUAAUUGGGUGUGGGUACACCGAGCCUUAGUACAAGGGGUAAAAUCCAAGUUGAAAAUAUUAAGUUUAAAGGAUAAGUUUUUUUUUCUCUCUCUCAGAAUAAGUGACUUUUUUACUUAAAAAGUAAGAAAAAGUCAAGGUAAACACAUUUGAAAAAGAAAAGUUAUUUGGUAAGUACUGAACACUCUCCGAACAUCUUAUCUUUGAGAAGUUUGAUAUGCCAUACCAUGGGAAUAGUUCUCAAACGUACUAUAGACCUAAUGUAAAAAUAUUGAUUUUCUUGAUUGGGAUGUUCAAUUUAGUUUUUCUAUUGCUCGUAAGAAAGUAUGGUCUUUUACAAUUUUUUUCAACUUAGUCUGGUGAUCGAUCACCUAGCCAAUUUCUAGGUCAACCAAUAUCUAAUGCAAGCUUCUCUCUUAUAGCCCUAACACUGUGUGCCUUUACUGUUGUCCUUGUUUUCGGGUUCAAUGCAUGUUAAAAUCAGGAAGAAGAGCAAGCCGAGACGACAUAUGGCUGCACCAUCCUUUAGAAUACAUGAUGUGGAUUAUGAAGGUCAUCACCGACUAUGAGGAAGCUCCAAGAAUUCUCUAGAAAAUUAGUGAUGAUUCCUUGCUAAUCAAUUCCUUAAUCCUUGAGCAUUCCUAGAAGAAUCUAGAAGAAACCAAUUGCUUGACAAUUGCCCACUGCCAUACUAGAAGAAUCAAGAAGGAGCAGCAAGUGACUCUCAUCAUUAAUGCAGUGGAAAAAUCUAGAAUGCAUCCCUGCUUAGAAGAUGCUAGAAGAAUCUAAUUACUAUCACCACUGUCAUUUAUGGGUGUCUCUAGAAUUUGGAUUAGCUUCACCAUGGUCAUACUAGAACCAUCCAUUAGCACCUGUAAAUAAAAGGAAGCUGUGUGCAUCAUGGAUGUAUGAAUGAUGAGAGAAAGUGUGUAAAGAUAAGUGAGAGUAAUUAGUACUCCGUUGAGUAUUAUUAGUGGUGUGUUUGUCUUAAAUUGUGUAAGUAAAUUUAUAUCAAUAAAAUCAUUUUCUUUUGGGAUUUAAACUCAACAA
rnacentral:lncRNA from 1 species